UGUGGGGUGGUUAUGGGGGGAUAUGGGGUCAUAUGGGAGGUUAUGGGGGAUAUGGGGUGGUUAUGGGGUCCCUAUGUGUCCCUAUGUGUCCCUAUGUGUCUCUAUGUGUCUCUAUGUGUCCCUAUGUGUCCCUAUGGGUCCCUAUGUGUCCCUAUGGGUCUCUAUGUGUCUCUAUGGGUCUCUAUGGGUCCCUAUGUGUCCCUAUGGGUCCCUAUGUGUCUCUAUGGGUCUCUAUGUGUCUCUAUGGGUCCCUAUGUGUCCCUAUGUGUCUCUAUGGGUCCCUAUGUGUCUCUAUGUGUCUCUAUGUGUCCCUAUGUGUCCCUAUGGGGCCGUAACCCCCGUUUCUCCCCGUUCCAGCCCCACUGAAUCCCGUCUCACGGUGUCCGACAACUCGCUGCUCUGGAGCGCCCCCGUGCGGUACCGGGUGGGAGCCGCGGUCACGUGGCUGGAGGACUCCACCCCAUAUCUCAGCUUCACCCCCGGCCAGACCCACAACUCAACACUGAGGCACCAUUACCAGGGCUGCAUCCCCCCCCACCCCCCCCUGUUGUUCCGCUGCCCCAUGGGAUCCCACUUGGGGGGCAGAGUGACGCUGAGCGCCAACAUCACACCCCCAACACAAGGACAGCCCCCGUUCCGAUCCCAUUUAUGCUCCCGUUUGUGGUUCCGGUUCGGUUCGGGGCUGUUCCAGCAUCACCCACAAGGGGGCGACAACGGGAUGCAGGGCACGACGGAGGUGGAGCUGCUGCCCCCCCCCCCCCCCAUUGCUCUUAAUGUACGUGGGGGGGCUGCGGCGGGGCGGGUGAUGCUGCUGCCCUAUGGGCGUCGCUGGGCGUGGCGCGAAGGUAAAUUUGCAUAAUUUGCAUAUUAAUGAGCUAAGGGGAUGGGGUGGGGGGUCACUAAUUAGGGUAAGGUUAAUUAGUCUGGAGGGGUAAAUUAAUUAAGGGGGUUAAUUAGAGCUUGUUAAUGGGCCGGGGGGGGGUGAUGCUGCUGCUCCUAUUGGGCGUCCUCCUGUCCAAGGUAAUUUGCAUAAUUGCAUAUUAAUGAGCUAAGGGGAUGGGGAUGGGGUUAAUUAACCAGGGGGGUUAUUAAAUGGGGAGUAAUUAAUUAAGGGUUUAAUUAGAGGAGGUCAGUUAAUUGGGAGGAUGGGCGAAGGGGCUGGGAUAGGGGGAUCACUCUAAUUAUCAGGGGAUAAUUAGGCAUAUUAAUUUGCUUAAUUAGCAUACUAAUGAGCUUACACAGGGGAUGGGGGGGCUUAAUUAAUAGGGGGGUUAAUAGUGGGGUGUCGCUUCGACUGGUAAUGUGUGAAUGUAAGGGAGUUAGAUUAGGAGCUUGUUAAUG
rnacentral:lncRNA from 1 species